UCUUUCCUCCCGAGUGCUUGCACUCAAUUGGAAAGAGGAGUGGCGGACGGGUGAGUAACACGUGGGUAACCUACCCAUCAGAGGGGGAUAACACUUGGAAACAGGUGCUAAUACCGCAUAACAGUUUAUGCCGCAUGGCAUAAGAGUGAAAGGCGCUUUCGGGUGUCGCUGAUGGAUGGACCCGCGGUGCAUUAGCUAGUUGGUGAGGUAACGGCUCACCAAGGCCACGAUGCAUAGCCGACCUGAGAGGGUGAUCGGCCGCACUGGGACUGAGACACGGCCCAGACUCCUACGGGAGGCAGCAGUAGGGAAUCUUCGGCAAUGGACGAAAGUCUGACCGAGCAACGCCGCGUGAGUGAAGCAAGGUUUUCGGAUCGUACAACUCUGUUGUUAGAGAAGAACAAGGACGUUAGUAACUGAACGUCCCCUGACGGUACUCUAACCAGAAAGCCACGGCUAACUACGUGCCAGCAGCCGCGGUACUACGUAGGUGGCAAGCGUCGUCCGGAUUCAUCGGGCGUAAAGCGAGCGCAGGCGGUUUCUUAAGUCUGAUGUGAAAGCCCCCGGCUCAACCGGUGGAGGGUCAUUGGAAACUGGGAGACUUGAGUGCAGAAGACCAGAGUGGGAAUUGCCAUGUGUGAGCGGUGAAAUGCGUAGAUAUAUGGAGGAACACCAGUGGUCGAAGUCAGGCUCUCUGGUCUGUAACUGACGCUGAGGCUCAGAAAGCGUGGGGAGCAAACAGGAUUUAGGAUACCCUGGUAGUCCACA
rnacentral:rRNA from 1 species